ACGAUGGCUAAUACCGGAUGUCUUCAUCGGAUCGCAUGAUCUGAUGAAGAAAUGGAUUCCGCUUCAGGAUGGUCUCGCGGCCUAUCAGCUUGUUGGUGGGGUAAUGGCCUACCAAGGCAUCGACGGGUAGCUGGUCUGAGAGGAUGUCCAGCCACACUGGGACUGAGACACGGCCCAGACUCCUACGGGAGGCAGCAGUGGGGAAUCUUGCACAAUGGGCGAAAGCCUGAUGCAGCGACGCCGCGUGCGGGAUGAAGGCCUUCGGGUUGUAAACCGCUUUCAGUAGGGAAGAUAAUGACGGUACCUACAGAAKAAGCCCCGGCCAACUACGUGCCAGCAGCCGCGGUAAUACGUAGGGGGCGAGCGUUGUCCGGAUUUAUUGGGCGUAAAGAGCUCGUAGGCGGUUUGGUAAGUCAAAUGUGAAAUCUCCACGCUCAACG
rnacentral:rRNA from 1 species